GAUGAAGAACGUAGCGAAAUGCGAUAAGUAAUGUGAAUUGCAGAAUUCAGUGAAUCAUCGAAUCUUUGAACGCACAUUGCGCCCGCCAGUAUUCUGGCGGGCAUGCCUGUUCGAGCGUCAUUUCAACCAUCAAGCCCCCGGGCUUGUGUUGGGGACCUGCGGCUGCCGCAGGCCCUGAAAACCAGUGGCGGGCUCGCUAGUCACUCCGAGCGUAGUAGUUACAUCUCGCUCAGGGCGUGCUGCGGGUUCCGGCCGUUAAAAGCCUUUUACCCCAAGGUUGACCUCGGAUCAGGUAGGAAGACCCGCUGAACUUAAGCAUAUCAAUAAGCGGAGG
rnacentral:misc_RNA from 1 species